GGAUAACCUGCCCUUGGGACCGGCAUAACCCCGGGAAACUGGGGAUAAUUCCGGAUAACGCAUAUUUGCUGGAAUGCUUUAUGCGUCAAAAGGAUUCGUCUGCCCAAGGAUGGGUCUGCGGCCUAUCAGGUAGUAGUGGGUGUAAUGUACCUACUAGCCAGCGACGGGUACGGGUUGUGAGAGCAAGAGCCCGGAGAUGGAUUCUGAGACAUGAAUCCAGGCCCUACGGGGCGCAGCAGGCGCGAAAACUUUACAAUGCGGGAAACCGUGAUAAGGGGACACCGAGUGCCAGCAUCAUAUGCUGGCUGUCCGGAUGUGUAAAAUACAUCCGUUAGCAAGGGCCGGGCAAGACCGGUGCCAGCCGCCGCGGUAACACCGGCGGCCCGAGUGGUGAUCGUGAUUAUUGGGUCUAAAGGGUCCGUAGCCGGUUUGGUCAGUCCUCCGGGAAAUCUGAUAGCUCAACUAUUAGGCUUUCGGGGGAUACUGCCAGACUUGGAACCGGGAGAGGUAAGAGGUACUACAGGGGUAGGAGUGAAAUCUUGUAAUCCCUGUGGGACCACCUGUGGCGAAGGCGUCUUACCAGAACGGGUUCGACGGUGAGGGACGAAAGCUGGGGGCACGAACCGGAUUAGAUACCCGGGUAGUCCCAGCCGUAAACGAUGCUCGCUAGGUGUCAGGCAUGGCGCGACCGUGUCUGGUGCCGCAGGGAAGCCGUGAAGCGAGCCACCUGGGAAGUACGGCCGCAAGGCUGAAACUUGA
rnacentral:rRNA from 1 species